GAAACAUAGACAUCUCUUUUUUACGAUAAUAGAUAAGAUUAAUAUUUAUAAGGAGGAAGUAUGAGGUAAUCUCUCUACAUCAGAUAAAAGAGAUGUCUAUGUUUCACAUUAGGGGAUUCUGUUUUAAAGCUCUGCCUCUUGGAUGGAUUUUAUAUUUUUUUUUGAGGGGAUGGAUUCUAUAUUUUCACUUGCUUCUAAACAAAAUAAACUCAACAAUUUGAGGAGAGAUCUCUUAUUCUUUGUAGUCUAUUAUAUUCCUUCCCGACGGCAAUAUUUCUAGUUCUUGACUGAAGUGGAAAGCCAAACGAAACCAAGCAGAAAUCAGUACCUGUGAGCGGAUUAUUAAUUUAUUUUUUAAACUGAAACCACCUUCUUAGUCUGUUCCAAAAUCCAGCCUCCAAUUUUUCUUCUGAUGGUUCUGUAACGUCCUUGAAACCUGCUUUCUCACUAAGCUCUUGAAAAGCAUCCACAAGGUUUUGAAGUCUGGCAACAAACUCUACCAACAAUGAUGCAAAUGUUGCUAAAGAUAAAGAGCUCGCACUUUCAAGUACUCUUGAUUCCUGUUCAGCAAGCAAUGAACCAGCUGUAAACGAUGGCCAUGAUACUGGUCGUCUGAGCAUAGUCUCUGAUAUCCAUUCUGGCACGGAAGGAUUGAAGCUUAUGUUUGGAUUUUGGGCAUUCCCAUUUUCGUUGUCCUUGACUUCAAUAAAGUUCUCAUGAUCUUCGAAUUCUUUGGGCGCUUUUUCAGCUGCAAAGCUUUCUGAAUUAACCAGAAUGUAAAAUUUUUGGUCUAUUUUCAUUUGCAACUCUUCUGCUGCUUCGUGGACUUCUAGCAGUACGUCUCCUGGACUUAACUUUUCCAUCUUUUCAACUUUGUUUCCAAGCUCGCGCAAUACUUUAGCUCCUUCAUUACCAACUCUCUGAAGCUCACUGCGAAAAACUUGUCUCUUUUCUGCUGGUGCCUGAAUUUCAGAAAGUAUGCAUCCAUGCAUUGCCAUGACCAUAAAUGCACAGUGCCUCAAUGCUCCACCUACUUUUACAUAGUUUUUCCAAGGAUAUUUGAAGGAUCUAUAAGGACCAUGAGGUGGCUCCCAUAUUGCAAAGUCUAACAGAGAUUCCUCUUGGCUGCUAGAUUGUACAGCUGAUCUGUAGCCGCUAUACAGCGGAUCAUCAGAAGCUUGGUAUGUUAGAAUUUUUGAAGGAACUCUCUCAUAUUCAACUCCUUGCAGGUAUCCAUUGACGCAGCCUUCUAAGGAAGCAGCAACACCUUUGAAAUUUUUCACCACUAAUUUAUGCAGAUCCUCCCCUGCCCAUAUUGGGAAUACACAAAUAUUCACAAGUAAGCCUAUCCCAGCACCAACUGCAAUAAGCAACAAUCUAUAAAAAGCUGUUUCGACAAAUGUUGAUGAGGUCCCAGACACCAUAACUAUACAGUAUGUCAACAGGAAAACCCGAAAUCCGUAUUCAUAAGAUUUCAUAGUGGGGUACAACUUUAUGUAACUUGCAGAAAAUCCUGCAAUGAAAAUACUGAUGAUGAUAAAAACUUCUUCAAAAUCUCCUGCCAACAGAGACAGCUCAGCAAUGCCAAGGGCGAGCCCACCAGCAGAAAGUGUCCCCAAAGCACGAUUGAAUCCUUUGUUAAGUGUUGCUCCUACACUGAACUCAAAAACCACGACCACUGUGAGAAUUGCCCAGAUCGAGUAUUGAUUAGCAUUGUUGAGAGGUUCUUUGAAGAAAAUGACUAAAGAAACAAGUGCAAGCGACAGUCCCAUCUUGAUAGCGAAAAUAGCUUUUCGAGGAUCUGUACGACCCAUCUUAUAUAACUCGACAGCACCAUCUUGUGACUUAUUCCAGAUUUUGAUGAUCCAAUCAGAAAGUGAUCGACAGCAGCGGCAUUUGACUCCCUCUUCACCGCCACCAUCUGAGCUGUUUAGGCCAAAAUCUGAGUACCCCUUUCUUGGAAGCAGUCUUUCGUUGCUCCUCUCUGCAAAACUUUGCCUAAACGAUCCAACCUUCGCGGCCAUUUUCUUCAGUGACCUUG
rnacentral:misc_RNA from 1 species